rnacentral:rRNA from 1 species
GACGAACGCUGGCGGCGUGCUUAACACAUGCAAGUCGAACGGUGACCCAGGGCUUGCCCUGGUGAUCAGUGGCGAACGGGUGAGUAACACGUGGGCAACCUGCCCCUGACUUCGGGAUAACUCCUCGAAAGAGGAGCUAAUACCGGAUACGACCACUUCGGACAUCCGAUGGUGGUGGAAAGUUUUUCGGUCAGGGAUGGGCCCGCGGCCUAUCAGCUAGUUGGUGGGGUAAUGGCCUACCAAGGCGACGACGGGUAGCCGGCCUGAGAGGGCGACCGGCCACACUGGGACUGAGACACGGCCCAGACUCCUACGGGAGGCAGCAGUGGGGAAUAUUGCGCAAUGGGCGAAAGCCUGACGCAGCGACGCCGCGUGAGGGAUGAAGGCCUCGGUUGUAACUCUUUCUAGCAGGACGAAGCGAAAGU